AAAAAUCAUAGUUUAAAAGGUUAAAACUUCAAUUUGUGAUAUUGAAAAUCUGAGUUCGAACCUCAGUGAUUCCC